CAAGAAGUAGUUUAAUUAAAAUAUUAAUUUUGGAGAUUAAUGAUAAAUUUAUUGUUUUUUCUUGA
rnacentral:tRNA from 1 species